rfam:Erinaceus europaeus unplaced genomic scaffold scaffold00261, whole genome shotgun sequence
GUCUACGGCCAUACCACCCUGAACACACCCGACCUCGUUUGAUCUCGGAAGCUAAGCAGGGUUGGGCAUGGUUAUUACUUGGAUGGAAGAAAUGGAGAUAGGAGGGGAAGACAGAGAGGAGGAGAGA